rnacentral:snRNA from 1 species
GUGCUCACUUAGGCAGCACAUAUACUAAAAUUGGAAUGAUAUAGAGAAUAUUAGCAUGACCCCUGCACAAGGAUGACAUGCAAAUUCGUGAAGUGUUGCAUAUUUCU